ACUUCUGCUAAUCCCGGAUGAGCCUAUGGGUAAAAGAUAAAUUGCCUGGAGAUGAGCUCGCGUCUGAUUAGCUAGUUGGUGAGGUAAAAGCUUACCAAGGCAACGAUCAGUAGCUGGUCUGAGAGGAUGAGCAGCCACACUGGGACUGAGACACGGCCCAGACUCCUACGGGAGGCAGCAGUGGGGAAUUUUCCGCAAUGGGCGAAAGCCUGACGGAGCAAGACCGCGUGGGGGAGGAAGGCUUUAGGGUUGUAAACCCCUUUUCUUUGGGAAGAACAAAAUGACGGUACCAAAGGAAUCAGCCUCGGCUAACUCCGUGCCAGCAGCCGCGGUAAUACGGAGGAGGCAAGCGUUAUCCGGAAUGAUUGGGCGUAAAGCGUCCGCAGGUGGCCAUGUAAGUCUGCUGUCAAAACCCAGGGCUCAACUCUGGUCAGGCAGUGGAAACUACAAAGCUAGAGUCUGGUAGGGGC
rnacentral:rRNA from 1 species